UGCGAAGGUGGCAAGCGUUGUUCGGAUUUACUGGGCGUACAGGGAGCGUAGGCGGUUGGAUAAGCCCUCCGUGAAAUCUCCAGGCUUAACCUGGAAAGUGCAGAGGGGACUGUUCAGCUAGAGGAUGGGAGAGGAGCGCGGAAUUCCCGGUGUAGCGGUGAAAUGCGUAGAUAUUGGGAGGAACACCAGUGGCGAAGGCGGCUACCUGGACCGGUUCUGACGCUGAGGCGCGAAAGCGUGGGUAGCAAACAGG
rnacentral:rRNA from 1 species